rnacentral:tRNA from 1 species
UCCAGCGUGGCGCGCAGGUCGGGCUCGGGCACGCCGGCGGCCUGGCGCAGCUCGCCGAUGCGUCCUUCGAGGUCCGAGAUCUCCCGCAGGAG